UUGGAAGAGACAGAGAAAGCAGUCUGCCCGGAGGCGGGGAUGGCGGAGGCGACCUCGGGAGGACCCUUCUUGACCAAGACGCCUUGGACUUCACCAACACGUGUCCCUGGGGGACACUGGUCUGUCUGCACCAUCAGAUACCGAGGGCAGAGACGGGUUGGACAGAGUGCCUGGAGAAUGCACAGCAAAGCCUGGAAUGGUGCCUGGCUGCGAUAAGGAGACUGAGGUUGACUGAAGUAAAACAACGUGUCCAAGGUCACAGAGACCUGGAUAGAAGAGGCAGGAAUCUAACAUGGAAUAUUAUGGCUUCAAAUGCUAUCUCUGGG